rnacentral:rRNA from 1 species
AUUGAACGCUGGCGGCAGGCUUAACACAUGCAAGUCGAGCGGGGGAAGGUAGCUUGCUACCGGACCUAGCGGCGGACGGGUGAGUAAUGCUUAGGAAUCUGCCUAUUAGUGGGGGACAACAUCUCGAAAGGGAUGCUAAUACCGCAUACGUCCUAUGGGAGAAAGCAGGGGAUCUUCGGACCUUGCGCUAAUAGAUGAGCCUAAGUCGGAUUAGCUAGUUGGUGGGGUAAAGGCCUACCAAGGCGACGAUCUGUAGCGGGUCUGAGAGGAUGAUCCGCCACACUGGGACUGAGAAACGGCCCAGACUCAUACGGGCGGCAGCAGUGGGGAAUAUUGGACAAUGGGGGGAACCCUGAUCCAGCCAUGCCGCGUGUGUGAAGAAGGCCUUAUGGUUGUAAAGCACUUUAAGCGAGGAGGAGGCUACUUUAGUUAAUACCUAGAGAUAGUGGACGUUACUCGCAGAAUAAGCACCGGCUAACUCUGUGCCAGCCGCCGCCGUAA